UGGCGGCGUGCUCGAAAAUGUUAAAGUUCUUAUUUCAUGGUAUAACUUUGGUAUGCUUGGACCUAGAGUCUUCAAACUUGACAUGAAGGUUGGCCAGGAUUAACAGAUGACCACUGGUCAUUUCAAGGUCAUUCAUUUGAAGGUGAAGGUCACUGUGACCUUCAAUAUAAAAAUGUUAAAGUUGUUAUAACUUUGGUAUGCUUGGACCUAGAGUCUUGAAACUUGACAUGAAGGUUGGCCAGAACUAGUAAGUAACCACUGGACAUUUCAAGGUCAUUCAUUUGAAGGUCAAGGUCACUGUGACCUUGAAUGUAAAAAUGUUAAAUAAAUAGUAUUAUUUCAUCUAAGUUUAUUUUCUUACAUUUGAUAAUGAAAUUGAUGGAAACUUCAAACAAUAUGUUACUAAUUUGCUAAUAAAAAAAUUGAGAUCAAA